GGAGAGGUAGCAUAGUCUGGCCUAAUGCGCACGCCUGGAGAGCGUGUGAGCGGUAAUUCCGCUCCGCGGGUUCAAAUCCCGCCCUCUCCGCCA
rnacentral:tRNA from 1 species